rnacentral:rRNA from 1 species
UACGUAGGGCGCAAGCGUUAUCCGGAAUUAUUGGGCGUAAAGAGCUCGUAGGCGGUUUGUCGCGUCUGCCGUGAAAGUCCGGGGCUCAACUCCGGAUCUGCGGUGGGUACGGGCAGACUAGAGUGAUGUAGGGGAGACUGGAAUUCCUGGUGUAGCGGUGAAAUGCGCAGAUAUCAGGAGGAACACCGGUGGCGAAGGCGGGUCUCUGGGCAGUAACUGACGCUGAGGAGCGAGAGCGUGGGGAGCGAACAGG